GCGGGCUCGUUCCUAACACGUCACUUCCGUUAUAAUAAACCACAAAAUUUACACUGCAAGCGCGCAAAUACACCAUAUAAUGACAAUGAACUUAAAUUAAACCUUUUAAGCAAGUCGCGACCGCAUCACUGUCGUGCUCAUGCUACACAAACUCUGCUUUAUAAAGUUUGAUCUUCUAGGUUGUGUUUAAUAUAAAAGGGCUUGGAGGUCGCACGCGUUCUUCCUCGGUCACGUGACUAUUUCACCUCCGUCUGUUGGUCAAUGUUGGGAAUAAAAGGUAACGCUGACAGAACCAGUACAUUCAAGAAAGUCAGUAUCGGGGACUGGGUAUGAGAUUACAGUUGGAAGCUACUUUUCUGUUUGUGGAUAUGACAAGACACGCACGGGCGAAUGACGUAUAUUAUCAGUUGUACUACAGCAGAUAUAAAGGUAACUUAUUUGAACUAAAAAUGGUUAUCUGUGGUGCAGAGGAUGUUUUAUGGCAUUUCAUGCCAGCAGCAUUGGUGCACGUUGUGGAGAAAAAAACCCUAAAGAUGCUAAAUCCAAAAGAUUUUACUGUCCAGGGUCACAGGGAGCCUGGAGCCUAUCCCAGAGGACUUGGGGCACAAGGUGGGGGACACCCUGGACGGGGUGCUAACCCAUCGCAGUGCACAAUCCCACACACUCGCACACUCAUUCUCACACUACAGACAAUUUGGAAAUGCCAAUCAGCCUACAAUGCAUGUUUAUGGACUGGGAGAGGAAACCGGAGUACCCAGAGGAAGACCCUAAAGCAUGGGAAGAACAUGCAAGCUCUGCGCACACACAGGGCAGAAGUGGGAAUCGAACCACAAACCCUCUUCCUCCAGCUGCUGCACUGAGCUUCACGGUGUGUUCACCUGGGACAUCAGGUCAGACUUCUCACUGUCCAGCUGAGCACUGGACUUGAUCGCUGGCCCAUAUUUCCCUUCAGCUUCAGCCACAGUGACCUGGAAGUUCAAAAACUGGCUUUAUUUACUUCUAUACCCCACACACAUUCAGACACUGUUGUGGACUUGAUUCGUCACUCAUCAGAUCAGCCUGAAAUGUUUUGCGGACACAGGACCAAAUGUCUUCACAACAUGACUGAACGAGGAUCAACACAGACAGUUCACAAUAGCAGUCAUAAUUACAUGAGAAGAAGAAGUUGAAAAGAUUACUCUUAGUGACUCCUUGUUGUGUGAUUGAGUUUCCUUCAUUUCAUCAUACGACAACUUCAGGUCACUGUGAGUUUCCCGCUCACGCUUACACUCCUAAAACACAGUCAUGGAGCAAAAGACAUUUUUAACUUGGUGCUAAACUAGCUGCUUCACUUCAAUGAAGAAGGAAUAACUUCAAAGUAGAGUGAAUUUUGGUCAUGUAGAAUUUGUGAAUUUUACGUUUUUGUUUACAUUACAAGUAUUUUCCUUUAGUUUAUAAGGCUGUCUUGCUGAAACACAUGUAAAGUAAAAAUACCCAAAUUAAAUAAAUUCACUCUCUCUAAGCCUA